rnacentral:rRNA from 1 species
GGAUGAACGCUGGCGGCGUGCCUAAUCCAUGCAAGUCGAGCGAACAGACGAGGAGCUUGCUCCUCUGACGUUAGCGGCGGACGGGUGAGUAACACGUGGAUAACCUACCUAUAAGACUGGGAUAACUUCGGGAAACCGGAGCUACUACCGGAUAAUAUAUUGAACCGCAUGGUUCAAUAGUGAAAGACGGUUUUGCUGUCACUUAUAGAUGGAUCCGCGCCGCAUUAGCUAGUUGGUAAGGUAACGGCUUACCAAGGCGACGAUGCGUAGCCGACCUGAGAGGGUGAUCGGCCACACUGGAACUGAGACACGGUCCAGACUCCUACGGGAGGCAGCAGUAGGGAAUCUUCCGCAAUGGGCGAAAGCCUGACGGAGCAACGCCGCGUGAGUGAUGAAGGUCUUCGGAUCGUAAAACUCUGUUAUUAGGGAAGAACAAAUGUGUAAGUAACUAUGCACGUCUUGACGGUACCUAAUCAGAAAGCCACGGCUAACUACGUG